rnacentral:tmRNA from 1 species
GGGGGUGACUUGGCUUCGACAGGAGUAGAGUGGUCACGGUGGCAUGUCGCUUUGAGCAAAGCGUUAAAAGCUCAACUUAAAAUUAAACGCAAAUAACGUUAAUUUCGCUCCUGCUUACGCUAAAGUAGCGUAAGUUCAGUUGAGCCUUGCUUCUGCUGAUGCUAUUUAGGCAGGUCGGCGAGUAAUUUAGAUAGCUUAGUUUUCUAGUCUGACGAACUAGGAGAUGAAACUCUAGUCUUAGUUUAAGAACAUGGUUUUUGGGAAAUGAGCCAUCUUAAAUGAAGUUUUCAUUUUCGCUAAGCAUGUAGAGGCUUUGGUCUUUUGCUUUUGGACUGCGGUUCGACCCCGCACACCUCCACCA